GGGGGCGACCUGGCUUCGACGUGGGUCGUGAAACCCGAGGUGCAUGCCGAGCUGCAAGCAACUCGUUAAAAGGUUUGCAAACAAGUUAGUUGCCAACGACGACAACUACGCACUCGCAGCUUAAACACCUGCCGUAGUGCCCUCCGCCCGGAGCUUGCCCGUGAGCACCGGAGCCCGGGGGUCGACCCACACGGGAUCGCGAUGAAGCACGCCUGGUGUGGAUUCGUUAAAACCUCAUCCAGGCUCGCUGGUGGUUUUCCCUCGCCGAUCGGGUAGCCCACAGCUAAAUUAAUAGAUCGACUAAGCAUGUAGAGCCAAAGGCGAAUCACUUGCGGACGCGGGUUCGAUUCCCGCCGCCUCCACCA
rnacentral:tmRNA from 1 species